CCUACGGGAGGCAGCAGUAGGGAAUCUUCCACAAUGGACGAAAGUCUGAUGGAGCAACGCCGCGUGAGUGAAGAAGGGUUUCGGCUCGUAAAGCUCUGUUGGUAGUGAAGAACGUAAGAGGUAGUAACUGUCCUUUAUUUGACGGUAAUUACUUAGAAAGUCACGGCUAACUACGUGCCAGCAGCCGCGGUAAUACGUAGGUGGCAAGCGUUGUCCGGAGUUAUUGGGCGUAAAGCGAGUGCAGGCGGUUCAGUAAGUCUGAUGUGAAAGCCUUCGGCUCAACCGGGGAGUUGCAUAAGAAACUGGUGAACUUGAGUGCAGAAGAGGAGAGUGGAACUCCAUGUGGAGCGGUGGAAUGCGUAGAGAUAUGGAAGAACACCAGUGGCGAAGGCGGCUCUCUGGUCUGCAACUGACGCUGAGGCUCGAAAGCAUGGGUAGCAAACAGGAUUAGAUACCCUUGUAGUC
rnacentral:rRNA from 1 species